rnacentral:rRNA from 1 species
GGACUGCCGGUAAAAGCCGGAGGAAGGUGAGGAUGAUGUCAAGUCAGCAUGACCUUUAUAUCCAGGGCUACACACACGCUACAAUGGUCUGUACAAUGGGUAGCCAAGCCGCGAGGCGGAGCCAAUCCUGAAAGCAGGCCUCAGUUCAGAUUGCAGUCUGCAACUCGACUGCAUGAAGCCGGAGUUGCUAGUAACCGCAGGUCAGCAAUACUGCGGUGAAUACGUUCCCGGGUCUU